rnacentral:rRNA from 1 species
CACGUAGGGCGCAAGCGUUGUCCGGAAUUAUUGGGCGUAAAGAGCUCGUAGGCGGUCUGUUGCGUCCGCUGUGAAAACUCGGGGCUUAACCCCGAGCCUGCAGUGGAUACGGGCAGACUAGAGGUAGGUAGGGGAGAAUGGAAUUCCCGGUGUAGCGGUGAAAUGCGCAGAUAUCGGGAGGAACACCGAUGGCGAAGGCAGAUCGCUGGGCCGUAACUGACGCUGAGGAGCGAAAGCGUGGGGAGCGAACAGG